UAAAAACUAAAACGGGCUCCAGGACAAGAGUAGAGUACCUCUGCUCUUUAAGGACACACUAAAUUCUGGAAAGGGACAACCUUUGUGAAAAUGAAGAUCGGACCUGGAGCUAUGGAAAAAGGUCAUGCGGCUUGAGGAGUUCACCAGGAAGAGAACUGAUGACGUUGCACCAUCGGGUCUGAUGAAGCCUUCAACAAUUCCUCCAUGAUGCUCCAUGAUGAUGAUGAUGCAUGAAGAAAAACCUCAAACUGGACUGAAAUGAUGGUCCUCCAGGAGAAGAACUGAGACAAGGUGUCCACAAGUACAGUUAAACUCAGGUGUGUCCUAUAAUCAGUGUCUUCAGUCUAGUAAUCAGACUGAAAAGUACAGUACUGGCUGGUAUCAGGGAGAGUACUACACUGAAUAUAGACAGAUUAUAAAUACUAUGAACACAAGAAAAACUAACUCAAAUAAAUCAUAUAGAAACCAGAACCACAACAAAGAAGUAUGGGUUAAAAAGGUCAUUUGUGUGAGUAAUUCAACUAAAAAGGUGAAAUAAUAUACGUGGAAG